rnacentral:rRNA from 1 species
AGUCGAACGAAGCAUUUAGAACAGAUUACUUCGGUUUGAAGUUCUUUAUGACCGAUUGGCGGACGGGUGAGUAACGCGUGGGUAGCCUGCCUUGUACUGGGGGAUAGCAGCUGGAAACGGCUGGUAAUACCGCAUAAGCGCACAAUGUUGCAUGACAUGGUGUGAAAAACUCCGGUGGUAUAAGAUGGACCCGCGUCUGAUUAGCUAGUUGGUGAGAUAACAGCCCACCAAGGCGACGAUCAGUAGCCGACCUGAGAGGGUGACCGGCCACAUUGGGACUGAGACACGGCCCAGACUCCUACGGGAGGCAGCAGUGGGGAAUAUUGCACAAUGGAGGAAACUCUGAUGCAGCGACGCCGCGUGAGUGAAGAAGUAAUUCGUUAUGUAAAGCUCUAUCAGCAGGGAAGAUAGUGACGGUACCUGACUAAGAAGCUCCGGCUAAAUACGUGCCAGCAGCCGCGGUAAUACGUAUGGAGCAAGCGUUAUCCGGAUUUACUGGGUGUAAAGGGAGUGUAGGUGGCCAUGCAAGUCAGAAGUGAAAAUCCGGGGCUCAACCCCGGAACUGCUUUUGAAACUGUAAGGCUAGAGUGCAGGAGGGGUGAGUGGAAUUCCUAGUGUAGCGGUGAAAUGCGUAGAUAUUAGGAGGAACACCAGUGGCGAAGGCGGCUCACUGGACUGUAACAGACACUGAGGCUCGAAAGCGUGGGGAGCAAACAGGAUUAGAUACCCUGGUAGUCCACGCUGUAAACGAUGAAUACUAGGUGUCGGGGCCCAUAAGGGCUUCGGUGCCGCAGCAAACGCAAUAAGUAUUCCACCUGGGGAGUACGUUCGCA